GAUGAUUGCGACCUGAACGUUAGGGUUCUUGCUGAUCUCGUAAGCACACGAUAGUCCAGCGGAGCCAGCACCAACGACGACGACGUCGGUCUCGGCGUAAGUGAUCAUAUCAGUCAUGUACCUCCUCGUCAUCUCGCGAGACACGAUGGACUCCUUGAUGGGGUCAAAAGUGAAGGCGUUCAGAUCGUAGCCAGCGGUGGCGCGGACGGAGAGGGAGCGCGGUUUGAGACCGACGGAGACAGGUGCGGCGGAGGAGAUGGAUGAGCCAUGGAAAUAGGAGUCGAAAAGGCGCUGAGGCUUGGUGGAAGAGAGGGAGAGAGUAGAGGUGAUGGACGCCAUAUUUGAGAGGUGUGUUUAUGUUUUGAGUGACGAUGAAGAUGAUGGUGGUGAAGUGAAACUGUGGUGGCUGUUGAAUAUUUAAAUUAGAAGAUGAAGAAAUAUCUGGAGAGUGAUGGCCACGUCAGAGAUAAGGCAUGAAGGGUCGUCGAUUUUUUGUUUUAUUUUUUAUAUAAAUGAAAUUAUUAAUUUCUGCCAUUAAUGGAAACAUUGGAAAGUAACGAUCUCCUUCCUUCACGGUUCGAAUUGAAUGAAGGAAGUUUUGAAAAUUUUCAUGACUUUUGAAAAAACCAAAGUUUAGUGAGAAAGUUAACAUACUUAUUUGUUUUUGUUACCCGAUUAAACCAGAAAUAUUUGCUUGUCUAAGAAAGAAAUAAAUCGUUUUGAUAUAUGUAGUUUAUGAAACAAUUAGAUUCAUAUAUUUUGUAUUAAAAUUCAGUUUGUGGUAAUUAAGAAAUAUCUCGAGACUUUUGUCUGGAAGUUUCUGUAACCAUUUGCACUGAGUGUGUGGUGACACGAACAACACCAGAAAGUGAGAUAUCUGUGUACGAUAGAUAUGGAUUUGGAUUUUACUAGUGAAAAGAUAGUUCACUAUUAUGGUGUCCUACGAAACAGAACAUGCAUGCAAACAAGUACAGCAGACCAAAGCUAAGUGAGCUGCUUGUGCUAGGUAAAACCAAUAGAGGAUCGGAGAACAACGCACAUUAAACCGAAUAAACGUUUUUAUUGAGAAGAAACAAAGACACCAGAAAAGUUCAUAACAUAAAUAGUCACAAGUUUUUUUAAAACACUCCUUUAUUGCAACUCCUUUCACAUAAAGAAGUAUCAAGGGGAAAUUUUCUUAGUUAAAAAAAACUUGUCCUUAAGCAUCUACGGUUUCAGCUGAAUCAGCAGCUGCUAAGACAAGCUCCGGGCUUAGGUCUCCGACAUACGAUCCAUCAAUAACAUUGGGCUGUCCCAAAGCUUUUAGAGCCAGAUGUGCCGCCUUCUGUCCUGAUAUCAUCAUAGCUCCGAACGUUGGUCCCUGCACAUCACAUAUUCAUUCACUCAGUAUAUCAUCCUACUAUAAAUGAUUGAUUCAAGGAAAGGGAAACAAACUCACCAUUCUUGGUGCACCAUCGAUCUCAGCAACUUCCAUACCGGUCACGAUCAUACCGGGAACAACCUCCCUGGUCAACCUCACAAUCGCAUCCUCAGCUGUGUUCAUGUCAAGAGCUUUCAUCCCAGGAACAUGGUCAAUCAACCCAAUGCUCUUCAACCUCUUCACACCGGUGGCUCCAAAGGGACCGUCGUGACCGCACGAGCUCACGACAAUCUUGGCCUCCAUGACGUUAGGGUCCAUGCAAGACUGUGUGUCGUGGUUCAUUGACACAAGAGCCCAGUUAGUCACCACACCGCCGACUCUGUUUCCUUUCACGAUCAGAUCCUCAGCGGCGACAGCGUUGAAGAGCUUGACGUUGGGACGAGCCAAAAGCUUGCUCAUGAUGGUGGAUGUGAAGAGAGCAGCGUGCUUGAUCACGACGUAGUUGUCUUGCUCAUCGUAGGCUACACCAAUCUCGUCAAGGAACAAGUGAGCUGGUUUGCGCACAAUCUGUUAAACACGGAUAUACAAUAACUUCAGUCUACUACACAUUACCAAUCACAUGCAAACCAAUCUAUGUACUUAAACACAUAAGAAGCUCUUAACACAGAGAGAGUUCGGAUAAAACAUUAUCAUGGGACAAUCUGUCCAACACAAACACACACAGGGCCCGCUAAAUCCCCCAGUAUCUUGAUAGCUUAAGGAUCAAAUAUUUUUUGUAUAUACAAAUUUUUAUAGAGAAAAUUUUAAAUAUUCACUAAAUUUGGUUGAAAAGUAGGCAUAUUUUAUGUGUACAUAAUUUGUUUUCAUCACAAAUUUUAUAAAGAUGUUGAUGAUAAAAUAAUUAAAAAAUAUUUUAAAAAACAUAAAUAUUAAAAACUUCAAUUUUUUUGCGCAUGAGUCCAAAUAAAUAUUGAGCCGUCCCUGAAUAUACAAUAACUCCAGUCCAGAGCAUACAUAUUCGCAUAUGACAUCCAAUAUAUUAAUGGUUAGUAUGUAUUAUAUCAUUCAGUCCUAAAUGAUUUUAAAAUAUAUGUGUUUAGUAAUUGUUUAAGCCUAAUAAUCUCAGAGCCCGCCUUGGCUUCCAUGAACACAAAUUAAUUAAACCAAACCUUAGUAGUUCCUCAGUAGUGUGACAUGCAAGUUAGUCUAAGUACUGAAACACUAUAUAGCAAGCUCUUACCACAAAGAGAGUUCGAAUAAAACAUUACCAUGGCGGAGAAAAGCUGACCACCGAGCCACGCGCCACCACCAGGACUGACAGAUUGCUCGAUGAUUGCGACCUGAACGUUAGGGUUCUUGCUGAUCUCGUAAGCACACGAUAGUCCAGCGGAGCCAGCACCAACGACGACGACGUCGGUCUCGGCGUAAGUGAUCAUAUCAGUCAUGUACCUCCUCGUCAUCUCGCGAGACACGAUGGACUCCUUGAUGGGGUCAAAAGUGAAGGCGUUCAGAUCGUAGCCAGCGGUGGCGCGGACGGAGAGGGAGCGCGGUUUGAGACCGACGGAGACAGGUGCGGCGGAGGAGAUGGAUGAGCCAUGGAAAUAGGAGUCGAAAAGGCGCUGAGGCUUGGUGGAAGAGAGGGAGAGAGUAGAGGUGAUGGACGCCAUAUUUGAGAGGUGUGUUUAUGUUUUGAGUGACGAUGAAGAUGAUGGUGGUGAAGUGAAACUGUGGUGGCUGUUGAAUAUUUAAAUUAGAAGAUGAAGAAAUAUCUGGAGAGUGAUGGCCACGUCAGAGAUAAGGCAUGAAGGGUCGUCGAUUUUUUGUUUUAUUUUUU
rnacentral:lncRNA from 1 species